CGGCCUUCGGGUUGUAAACCUCUUUCAGUAGGGAAGAAGCGAAAGUGACGGUACCUGCAGAAGAAGCGCCGGCUAACUACGUGCCAGCAGCCGCGGUAAUACGUAGGGCGCAAGCGUUAUCCGGAAUUAUUGGGCGUAAAGAGCUCGUAGGCGGUUUGUCGCGUCUGCCGUGAAAGUCCGGGGUUCAACUCCGGAUCUGCGGUGGGUACGGGCAGGCUAGAGUGAUGUAGGGGAGACUGGAAUUCCUGGUGUAGCGGUGAAAUGCGCAGAUAUCAGGAGGAACACCGAUGGCGAAGGCAGGUCUCUGGGCAUUAACUGACGCUGAGGAGCGAAAGCAUGGGGAGCGAACAGGAUUAGAUACCCUGGUAGUCCAUGCCGUAAACGUUGGGCACUAGGUGUGGGGGACAUUCCACGUUUUCCGCGCCGUAGCUAACGCAUUAAGUGCCCCGCCUGGGGAGUACGGCCGCAAGGCUAAAACUCAAAGGAAUUGACGGGGGCCCGCACAAGCGGCGGAGCAUGCGGAUUAAUUCGAUGCAACGCGAAGAACCUUACCAAGGCUUGACAUGGACCGGACCGCCGCAGAGAUGUGGUUUCUCCUUUUGGGGCCGGUUCACAGGUGGUGCAUGGUUGUCGUCAGCUCGUGUCGUGAGAUGUUGGGUUAAGUCUCGCAACGAGCGCAACCCUCGUUCCAUGUUGCCAGCGCGU
rnacentral:rRNA from 1 species